GAGGGCUGACAACAACAAGCUAGUGUUAGUGGGUGAACCGGAGUCCUUGAGACGGGGGACACGACACUCUUUGUAAAGGGACAAACGGCCCAUGCAGAGGCAUCGAGUUCUCAUUUUACAGAACUUAGAGGACAAAGAUUUGCCAGUAGCAGAAGUUACUAGAGAUGCAUGAAAAGACGACCUAGCUGGAAAGGUGGAGGACAGAGUCCCACCGUCCUUGGGAAUCCUCAGUACACCAGUAAGUACAUUUCCCCAAGAGAGAUGGUGACAGACAAGAUGGGAGCCAGAGAAGAGUGGUCAUCCCUUACUGUUCGUGUGAGAUUUCCGUGUUCAGACGGUACUGCAAACAGUGAGAGGAAUUACAGGAAGGAGAAAGACUGACCGUGUAAUGCGUGGUGGUCUGUUUUUGGUCAACAAGCUUGACAUGCAAUAUCAAUAAAAUCAGUAUUUUCUAACAUGCCAAUUAUAUAAAAAACAACUACCCUUUUCCUUUAAAAUAAGGGUAACGGUAUUAUUAAAGCCACACAUCUGAACUGUUUUCCCUAGCAAUGAUAUUUUCUUACCCGGUAUGUGAGGAGUACACUUUUUG